rnacentral:rRNA from 1 species
UGCAGUCGAACGGUAACAUUUCUAGCUCGCUAGAAGAUGACGAGUGGCGGACGGGUGAGUAAUGCUUGGGAACUUGCCUUUGCGAGGGGGAUAACAGUUGGAAACGACUGCUAAUACCGCAUAAUGUCUUCGGACCAAACGGGGCUUCGGCUCCGGCGCAAAGAGAGGCCCAAGUGAGACUAGCUAGUUGGUAAGGUAACGGCUUACCAAGGCGACGAUCUCUAGCUGUUCUGAGAGGAAGAUCAGCCACACUGGGACUGAGACACGGCCCAGACUCCUACGGGAGGCAGCAGUGGGGAAUAUUGCACAAUGGGGGAAACCCUGAUGCAGCCAUGCCGCGUGUGUGAAGAAGGCCUUCGGGUUGUAAAGCACUUUCAGUUGUGAGGAAAAGUUAGCAGUUAAUACCUGCUAGCCGUGACGUUAACAACAGAAGAAGCACCGGCUAACUCCGUGCCAGCAGCCGCGGUAAUACGGAGGGUGCGAGCGUUAAUCGGAAUUACUGGGCGUAAAGCGCACGCAGGCGGUUUGUUAAGCUAGAUGUGAAAGCCCCGGGCUCAACCUGGGAUGGUCAUUUAGAACUGGCAGACUAGAGUCUUGGAGAGGGGAGUGGAAUUCCAGGUGUAGCGGUGAAAUGCGUAGACAUCUGGAGGAACAUCAGUGGCGAAGGCGACUCCCUGGCCAAAGACUGACGCUCAUGUGCGAAAGUGUGGGUAGCGAACAGGAUUAGAUACCCUGGUAGUCCACACCGUAAACGCUGUCUACUAGCUGUGUGUGCCUUUAAGGCGUGCGUA